GGGGGUGCACUGGCACAGAGGAAAGGCCAUGUGAAGCAAGAAGGCAGCCAUCUGCAAGCCAAGGAGAGAAAUUUCAGAAGGAACCAACCCUACCGACAUCUUGAUCUUGGACUUUAAGCUGCCAGACCUUUUAUACAUUUUCUACAGAAAAUGCACCCCAUCAUUGCUUAUAGCCCACCCACGUGGACUGCUCAUUCUGUGAAUCAUGUUUUACAGAAAUUGCCUUGAUGUUAGGAAUUAAAAAAACAAAACAAAACAAAAAACAUGGAGCCGUAUUCUCCAGAAGCUUACAUCUGAUUUAACGAGACAGCAAUAGGAAGCCAAAGGGUCCCUGCAGAGGAGGGUUGCAGCACGAUAACUCUACAGCUGGACAGAGACAGAUUGCAGGGGAGCAAGAAUGAAUGGCAGGCCAGCUGCCAGAAGCUUCUCACUCCGUGGAGACCUUGGAGUCGAGGAUGAAAUGUCUUACAACUGUGGGGAGACCUUGGCUUUUCCAAAGCCUACCAGGGUCCAGCCCUAUAUUCUGCAACUAUGCUGGCAGAUUUAGGAGGUGAUAACUGCUGGGAAGAAGUUGUUAAAGAGAGAACUCAGAGCCCCCAUGCUCCAUCCUCAACCACUGGCUGACAGGGAAGGACUCCAAGCAGACAGUGGGUGAUACUGUUGCUACUGGUCUUUGAGAACUGCUGACUUACAAUGUAUGGACAGGUAAAUAGGGUUCAUUCUCCAGCCACCUCUCAUCUACCAAAGAAAGUGCAGGCUCCUGUAGCAUGUAAAGGAGGACUUGGAAGCUAAGGCCCAGAGAGGAGGAGAAACUUGAUCAAAGUCAAUCAGACAAUGCAGAAUCGAGAAAAGUACCUGGACCUCUAUGCCCAUGCUUCUAGCAGCCAGCCUCCUAAAAUACCUCUAGUUGAAGCCAAAGUUAGAAUCCUUCUACGAAACUACAGGAUUAAAAUGGAAUGGUUACAUGACCCAGGCUUGACCAAUCAGAUCAUCCAAACCCUUUGCCACAGUGAUUGGUCCAGGGAUACAUGCAUGAGCCAGCUCAGGUAAAUGAGACUCAAUUAUAAGAAUUUUGUUAGCGCAAUUGGGAAAAAGAAGUUUUCUUUCCAUGAGAACUAUCAGCUAUAAGAAUGUUGGAUGCUUCCAUCUGCUGGAGUCCAUGAAGA
rnacentral:lncRNA from 1 species